rnacentral:rRNA from 1 species
UACGAGAGGCCCAAACGUUAUUCGGAAUUACUGGGCUUAAAGAGCGUGUAGGCGGCCAGGUAGGUCUGCUGUGAAAACUCGAGGCUCAACCUCGAGACGUCGGCGGAAACCAUCUGGCUAGAGUCCGGAAGAGGAGAGUGGAAUUCCUGGUGUAGCGGUGAAAUGCGCAGAUAUCAGGAAGAACACCCGUGGCGAAGGCGGCUCUCUGGGCCGGUCCUGACGCUGAGACGCGAAGGCGUGGGGAGCAAACAGG